CCAAUAGCGUAUAUUAAAGUUGUUGCAGUUAAAAAGCUCGUAGUUGAAUUUCGGGAUUGACGUGAUGGUCAUGCCUUAAGGGGUAUGAACUGUCGCUGUUGAUUUCUCACCUUCUGGAAAAACUUGAUGUCCUUUAUUGGGUGUCUUGCGGAUCCAGGACCUUUACCUUGAAAAAAUUAGAGUGUUUAAAGCAGGCAUUUUUGCUCGAAUACAUUAGCAUGGAAUAAUAGAAUAGGACGGCAUGGUUCUAUUUUGUUGGUUUCUAGGAUCACCGUAAUGAUUAAUAGGGAUAGGUGGGGGCAUUAGUAUUCAAUUGUCAGAGGUGAAAUUCUUGGAUUUAUUGAAGACUAACUACUGCGAAAGCAUUUGCCAAGGAUGUUUUCAUUAAUCAAGAACGAAAGUUAGGGGAUCGAAGACGAUCAGAUACCGUCGUAGUCUUAACCAUAAACUAUGCCGACUAGGGAUCGGAUGAUGUUAAUUUUAUAAUGACUCAUUCGGCGCCUUACG
rnacentral:misc_RNA from 1 species